ensembl:misc_RNA 7SK 7SK RNA
GGAUGUGAGGGCAAUCUGAUUGUGACAUCUGUAACCCCACUGAUCACCAGAGUUGAUUCAGCUGACCUGGCUGGCUAGAUGGAUGUCCCCUUCCUCCCUUACUACUCCACGUGCAUCCCUUCUAAAGCUGCACACUCUGGUCAAAGAGGACCACCUUCUUCCGUGGAGGAAAGGGUUGUUCUUUGGUCAAGGGUAUACAAGUAGCUGCACUCUCCUGCUAGAAUCUCCAAACAAACUCUGGAGAUAUACCUCUCACAUAAAGCAGAGACCAAAACAAACAAGAAAGGAACAGCAAUGACAGAGACCUU